CUGUUCUGGGUUUGCCCGAUUCCCGCUCGGCCCUGCACCCCAGCACCCAGGAGCAACAGCCCCGGGAGCCCGCGCCUCCGCUGUCAUUGCUAGCCUGUUUCCCCGCGGAACCCCACCUUCUCCAGGAAAACGGGGCUGGAAGGACGCAUGGAGUGCGGCGGGGCGGACCCUCAGUGACUGGCUCCGGGUAGCGAGGCGGCGAGGGCGCCAUUGUGACGCGCCCGGCUCCGAGCGGAGAUUGGUCCGCCAAGCGUGUGGGGGAGCCGGGGCCCGCGGAGGGGGGCGGGAGGGGAGCGGUGCUGCAGAGCGUUCCAGAGCCCCUGAAGGUACAGACUGAAGAGCACCCCAAACAUUGAGCCCAAAAGACGCCUAGAUCGAAGACCACCGUGAGGAGAGAAAAUGGGAGUCAUUUCCUGCCGAGGGAGAAGGAACCGAGAACAGCGGAGACAUAAAGGCGGUUCCAAGGACAGAGUUUGAGGAGCCGGCGCAGGCUGUGCUCCCAGCUCUUGGGUCGCUACUCCGCAUUGUCACGUAGCUUCACCUGGCUCCCGGUUCCCCCGGAGGGCAGGGCUUUGGCCUCAGGCCUCAUUCUGGGAGACGAAGUGCCGGGGCCGAGAUGUUCAUUGCGGGAGAAACGCGCCACUUCGAUGUCAUUUGAGUUCCUGCUACAUCCAGGCCACCCGUGUUUUUUGCUCGAAAUGAGACUGAACUUGUCAGCCCUUGGUGCAGCACUAAGAAAAGCAGCUCUGAGAGCCACGGUUGGUAACCGGCCUGGAUGCCCUCCCUGAUGAACGAGAAACCACGAAGAAAGGACAAAGGGCAGGAAUAAUUGCAAUAGGUGGUUAUCCCAAUAUUCAGAAGAGGGGGAGCAUGAAGGAAGCCUUGUUAACACUUUUAGGUCUUAACUGCCUAAUAUCAAUGUUAAGAACUCAGCCAUGUCAUUAAGUACCCAUCUAUUGUACUAUAGCACAACUAAAAGUUUUGAGUGGCCUUCCAUAUCUAUCAAGGUUCACAAAGAGAGGAACAGUACCACCAGGUGUUCGUGACUCUGCACCUCAGUUCCCUUCCACUAAGUGGUGAUGGUAGUAACAUCUACUGCUGGAUCUAUGAUGUUAAAUGAAAUUGAGUAUUCAGAACCAGUACAAACCACAGUGAAGAGAGAGACACAGCGAGAGACGGAACACAAGCAGGGGG